AAACCUAGUUUUAAAGCUAGCUGCAUAUUUCAUUUGUAUGCAAGUUGCAUUAAAUCUCAUUAAACUGAAUAAAACUAAAAGAUACAAUAGGUAAAAGUCAGUGACAAUAAAAGGAAAAGAGCAGUCAACAUAGUGUAACAAUUCGACAUAGUUUAUAAAAAUAUAAAUAACUACGUAGGACAACAGGAUAAUUUAAUAGUCUAACAACCCCUGAUAACAUACAAAGAGAGAAAAAAAAACAUACUAGGAAACAUAUUCAAAAAAUCAUAACACUACUAACUGGUGGGAUGUAUAAAUACCGAGCCGCGCCAAAGAGUAUUCAUCAAAAUAGCACUAUAACUAACUGGUGGGGUGUAUAAAUACCGAGCC
rnacentral:lncRNA from 1 species